rnacentral:rRNA from 1 species
GACGAACGUCGGUGGCGUGCUUAAUACAUGCAAGUCAACUGAAGCAGUGGUAGCAAUAUCGCUGUGGAGGUGGCGCACGGGUGAGUAACACGUAGGUAAUCUGCCUUCAGGUCUGGCAUAACUCCGGGAAACCGGGGCUAAUAGCAGAUGAUGCAGCGGCUCGACAUCGAGACAGUUGUUAAAGCUAUGGCGCCUGAAGAUGAGCCUGCGUCUGAUUAGCUAGUUGGCGGGGUAACGGCCCACCAAGGCAACGAUCAGUAGCUGGUCUGAGAGGAUGAUCAGCCACACUGGAACUGAGACACGGUCCAGACUCCUACGGGAGGCAGCAGUAAGGAAUAUUGCUCAAUGGGAGAAAUCCUGAAGCAGCAACGCCGCGUGAGGGACGAAGGGCUUUUGCUUGUAAACCUCUGUAGUGAGAGAAAAAAAUCCCAAUCUUUGGGACAUGAUGGUAUCUCAAAAGUAAGCCCCGGCUAACUACGUG